rnacentral:misc_RNA from 1 species
GAUGAAGAACGUAGCGAAAUGCGAUACGUAAUGUGAAUUGCAGAAUUCAGUGAAUCAUCGAAUCUUUGAACGCACAUUGCGCCCGCUGGUAUUCCGGCGGGCAUGCCUGUUCGAGCGUCAUUUCAACCCUCAAGCCCCCCGGGUUUGGUGUUGGGGAUCGGCUCUGCCUCACGGCGGUGCCGCCCCCGAAAUACAUUGGCGGUCUCGCUGCAGCCUCCAUUGCGUAGUAGCUAACACCUCGCAACUGGAACGCGGCGCGGCCAUGCCGUAAAACCCCAACUUCUGAAUGUUGACCUCGGAUCAGGUAGGAAUACCCGCUGAACUUAAGCAUAUCAAUAGCGGAGGA